rnacentral:tRNA from 1 species
GGGGCCAUAGCUCAACGGUCAGAGCAGGCGGCUCAUAACCGCUUGGUUCCAGGUUCGAAUCCUGGUGGCCCCA